CGCUCCGUAGCUCAGUUGGCAGAGCCCCGCGCUCAUAACGCGGAAGUCGCGGGUUCGAGUCCCGCCGGAGCAACGA
rnacentral:tRNA from 1 species